AACACCUCAACUCCCCUUUCUUUUUUUUGAAAUGGGAGCUGGACUUGAGUGAUCCCAACGCUUUUCUCACCGAAAAGUGGCGGGUUACUUGAAAUGCAGGUGCAGCUGGACUUUUCUCUGAGCUAAAAGCAUAUCUAUUUAGUCUGCCUAAAAAACAGAUUAUUACCUUUGCUGCAGCUAACAUAAAGGAGAUUAGUUCUUGUGCUGACUGAUGCAGGAUUCACAGAGACAGCUUCGGCUGGCCUUUGUAA
rnacentral:misc_RNA from 1 species